GAUGAACGCUGACAGAAUGCUUAACACAUGCAAGUCUACUUGAAUUUGGGUUUUUUAACUUAGAUUUGGGUGGCGGACGGGUGAGUAACGCGUAAAGAACUUGCCUCACAGCUAGGGACAACAUUUGGAAACGAAUGCUAGUACCUGAUAUUAUGAUUAUAAGGCAUCUUAGAAUUAUGAAAGCUAUAUGCGCUGUGAGAGAGCUUUGCGUCCCAUUAGCUAGUUGGAGAGGUAACGGCUCACCAAGGCGAUGAUGGGUAGCCGGCCUGAGAGGGUGAACGGCCACAAGGGGACUGAGACACGGCCCUUACUCCUACGGGAGGCAGCAGUGGGGAAUAUUGGACAAUGGACCAAGAGUCUGAUCCAGCAAUUCUGUGUGCACGAUGACGUUUUUCGGAAUGUAAAGUGCUUUCAGUUGGGAAGAAAAAAAUGACGGUACCAACAGAAGAAGUGACGGCUAAAUACGUG
rnacentral:rRNA from 1 species